AUGAUCACACUCUUUGUGGCUCUUUACUCUCUGCUUUGUCUCUGCACAACUGGAAACACUUCUGACAUCAAGGAGCCUCAUGUGAAAACAGUAAAGCUGGGAGAAAAUGUAACAAUGGAGUGUAACGUUAGUGGAAAUAAAGAUAAUGUAUUUUGGUACAGACAGAGAUUCGGAGAAAUGCCUCAGUUUUUAGCAAAACCAUACAAGGACGCUAAGGGCUACACAUUUGCAGAGGAAUUUAAUGAUAGACGCUUCAGUGUUACUGUAAAUGGCAGCAAAUUUGAUCUCAACAUUAAUGGAACAAAUAAAAGUGACAGAGGAGACUAUCUCUGUGUAAAUCUUGACGGAACUACACCAAAGUUCACAUCUGGAACACGUCUGCAGUUUGAAGGUGAAGAGAUGAAACCCUGUCCUACACCUGGAACACUUAACAAGAACACAAACUCUGUUACACACCAGGGUUCAAACAGCAGUGAUGGAAAAAGUUACAGCUGUACUGAUCAGAUGCGUGUGCUGUUCUGGCUCUCUGUGUCUAGAGUUGGAGUUCUUGUCUUCAUUAUUUUUCCAUCAAUCAUCAUUUCUUUUAAA